CCCUUAGAUGUUCUGGGCCGCACGCGUGCUACACUGAGUGGAUCAGCGGGUCAGGUUGCGCGAAAGCGUUUCCUAAUCUUGAAAUCCGCUCGUGAUGGGGAUUGACAGUUGCAAUUUUCUGUCAUGAACGAGGAAUACCUUGUAAGCGCGAGUCAUCAUCCCGCGCUGAAUACGUCCCUGCCCUUUGUACACACCGCCCGUCGCUCCUACCGAUUGAGUGGUCCGGUGAGGCUUUGGGAUCUGAGCGGAAAGAGCGUUUCGCUCGUUCUGCCCGGAAAACUCAGUCGAACCUUAUCAUUUAGAGGAAGGAGAAGUCGUAACA
rnacentral:rRNA from 1 species